rnacentral:rRNA from 1 species
UACGUAGGGGGCGAGCGUUGUCCGGAUUUAUUGGGCGUAAAGAGCUCGUAGGCGGCUUGUCGCGUCGGCUGUGAAAACCCGCGGCUCAACUGUGGGCGGGCAGCUGAUACGGGCAGGCUGGAGUUCGGUAGGGGAGACUGGAAUUCUUGGUGUAGCGGUGAAAUGCGUAGAUAUCAAGAGGAACACCUGCGGCGAAGGCGGGUUGCUGGGCCGACACUGACGCUGAAGUGCGAAAGCUAGGGGAGAGAACGGG